UACAGAGGGUGCGAGCGUUAAUCGGAAUUACUGGGCGUAAAGCGUGCGUAGACGGUUUCGUAAGUCGGGUGUGAAAUCCCCGGGCUCAACCUGGGAAUUGCAUUCGAAACUGCGAGGCUAGGGUACGGAAGAGGGAAGCGGAAUUUCUGGUGUAGCGGUGAAAUGCGUAGAUAUCAGAAGGAACAUCAGUGGCGAAAGCGGCUUCCUGGUCCAGUACCGACGUUCAGGCACGAAGGCGUGGGGAGCAAACAGG
rnacentral:rRNA from 1 species